AGAGUUUGAUCCUGGCUCAGGACGAACGCUGGCGGCGUGCUUAACACAUGCAAGUCGAACGGUAAGGCCCUUCGGGGUACACGAGUGGCGAACGGGUGAGUAACACGUGGGUAAUCUGCCCUGCACAUCGGGAUAAGCCUGGGAAACUGGGUCUAAUACCGAAUAGGACCACAGGACACAUGUCCUGUGGUGGAAAGCUUUUGCGGUGUGGGAUUGGCCCGCGGCCUAUCAGCUUGUUGGUGGGGUGAUGGCCUACCAAGGCGACGACGGGUAGCCGGCCUGAGAGGGUGUCCGGCCACACUGGGACUGAGAUACGGCCCAGACUCCUACGGGAGGCAGCAGUGGGGAAUAUUGCACAAUGGGCGAAAGCCUGAUGCAGCGACGCCGCGUGGGGGAUGACGGCCUUCGGGUUGUAAACCUCUUUCACCAUCGACGAAGGUCCGGGUUUUCUCGGGCUGACGGUAGGUGGAGAAGAAGCACCGGCCAACUACGUGCCAGCAGCCGCGGUAAUACGUAGGGUGCGAGCGUUGUCCGGAAUUACUGGGCGUAAAGAGCUCGUAGGUGGUUUGUCGCGUUGUUCGUGAAAUCUCACGGCUUAACUGUGAGCGUGCGGGCGAUACGGGCAGACUUGAGUACUGCAGGGGAGACUGGAAUUCCUGGUGUAGCGGUGGAAUGCGCAGAUAUCAGGAGGAACGCCGGUGGCGAAGGCGGGUCUCUGGGCAGUAACUGACGCUGAGGAGCGAAAGCGUGGGGAGCGAACAGGAUUAGAUACCCUGGUAGUCC
rnacentral:rRNA from 1 species